UACGUAGGGCGCAAGCGUUGUCCGGAAUUAUUGGGCGUAAAGAGCUCGUAGGCGGCUUGUCACGGUCGGUGUAGCAAGGCCCGGGUCUUAACCCCGGGUCUGCCAUUCGAUACGGGCAGGCUAGAGUGUGGUAGGGGAGAUCGGAAUUCCUGGUGUAGCGGUGGAAUGCGCAGAUAUCAGGAGGAACACCGAUAGCGAAGGCAGCUCGCUGGGACGGUACUGACGCUGAGGCGCGAAAGCGUGGGAGCAAACAGG
rnacentral:rRNA from 1 species